AAGGAUCAUUUGUGAUAUAAAGUUUGGCACUUUCGAGUGCCGACUAUAUAACAUGUGCAACUGUUCUAUAUAUAACUGUAAAACACUGUGAUUGUAAUAUAUAUCUUUGACUACUUCUUUUCGAAAGGAAAGUUAGUAGUAUCAUGGAAAAAGCACAACUUUUAACAAUGGAUCUCUUGGCUCUU
rnacentral:misc_RNA from 1 species